UACGUAGGGCGCAAGCGUUGUCCGGAAUUAUUGGGCGUAAAGAGCUCGUAGGCGGUUUGUCGCGUCUGCUGUGAAAACCUAAGGCUCAACCUUGGGCUUGCAGUGGGUACGGGCAGACUAGAGUGCGGUAGGGGGUGACUGGAAUUCCUGGUGUAGCGGUGGAAUGCGCAGAUAUCGAGGAGGAACACCCGUGGCGAAGGCGGCUCUCUGGGACGGUACUGACGCUGAGACGCGAAAGCGUGGGGAGCAAACAGG
rnacentral:rRNA from 1 species